rnacentral:rRNA from 1 species
AAUUCGAUUGAGUUUGAUCAUGGCUCAGGAUGAACGCUGGCGGUCUGCUUAACACAUGCAAGUCGAACGGAACUCUUCGGAGUUUAGUGGCGGACGGGUGAGUAACGCGUGAGAAUCUGCCCUUAGGUUGGGGACAACAGCUGGAAACGGCUGCUAAUACCCAAUGUGCCGAGAGGUAAAAGCUUAAUGUGCCUGAGGAUGAGUUCGCGUCUGAUUAGCUAGUUGGAGUGGUAACGGCACACCAAGGCGACGAUCAGUAGCUGGUCUGAGAGGACGAUCAGCCACACUGGGACUGAGACACGGCCCAGACUCCUACGGGAGGCAGCAGUGGGGAAUUUUCCGCAAUGGGCGCAAGCCUGACGGAGCAAGACCGCGUGGGGGAAGAAGGUUUGUGGAUUGUAAACCCCUUUUGAUUGGGAAGAACACAAUGACGGUACCAAUCGAAUCAGCAUCGGCUAACUCCGUGCCAGCAGCCGCGGUAAUACGGAGGAUGCAAGCGUUAUCCGGAAUUAUUGGGCGUAAAGCGUCCGUAGGUGGCAUUGCAAGUCAGUUGUUAAAGCGCGGGGCUUAACCCCGUAAAGGCAAUUGAAACUGCGAAGCUAGAGUGCGAUAGGGGCAAGGGGAAUUCCCAGUGUAGCGGUGAAAUGCGUAGAUAUUGGGAAGAACACCAGCGGCGAAAGCGCGUGACUGGGCCUGAACUGACACUCAUGG